CAAUAGCGUAUAUUAAAGUUGUUGCGGUAAAAAAGCUCGUAGUUGGAUUUCUACCGAAGAUAGCCGGUCGGGUCUUCGACCUUGUAUCUGGUUUUGUCUUUGGUAUCCUCAUAGGGAACGUUUCCGCGCUUUAUUGCGUGGUGCGGUAUCUAUGACUUUUACUUUGAGGAAAUUAGAGUGUUCACGGCAGGCAAACGCCUUGAAUAUAUUAGCAUGGAAUAAUAACAUAGGAUCUUCGUCCUAUUUUGUUGGUUUCUAGGGCUAAGAUAAUGAUUAAUAGGGAUAAUUGGGGGCAUCUGUAUCAACGCGUCAGAGGUGGAAUUCUUGGAUUGCGUUGCGACAAACUACUGCGAAAGCAUUUGCCAAGGAUGUUUUCAUUGA
rnacentral:rRNA from 1 species